CCUACGGGGGGCAGCAGUGAGGAAUAUUGGUCAAUGGCCGAGAGGCUGAACCAGCCAAGUCGCGUGAGGGAAGACGGCCCUACGGGUUGUAAACCUCUUUUGUCGGGGAGCAAAGCGAGUCACGUGUGACUCAUUGAGAGUACCCGAAGAAAAAGCAUCGGCUAACUCCGUGCCAGCAGCCGCGGUAAUACGGAGGAUGCGAGCGUUAUCCGGAUUUAUUGGGUUUAAAGGGUGCGCAGGCGGAGGUGCAAGUCAGCGGUCAAAUUGCGGGGCUCAACCCCGUACUGCCGUUGAAACUGCAUCCCUUGAGUGCGCGAGAAGUAUGCGGAAUGCGUGGUGUAGCGGUGAAAUGCAUAGAUAUCACGCAGAACUCCGAUUGCGAAGGCGGUCUGCUGGACAGCAACUGACGGUGAGGCGCGAAAGCGUGGGGAGCAAACAGGAUUAGAUACCCCAGUAGUC
rnacentral:rRNA from 1 species